UAUGUUUAAGUCAGAGAUCUAAGUGAGUCUGAAACCUCUUCAUAAAGUUCUGAUUUUAAAGCAGUCUUAUGAACAGGAAGUGACAUCACGCUCUCCUGCUCUAACCCGUCUCCUCUCGUUCAUCGUGAUUCACAGACGUCACCAAAACACAAACCUCCGUCCUGUGAGUUUAAAACUUCAGAAUGAAACAGGAGGAGGUCUCAGGUGAGAUCUGAACACUCCUCCUCUGGGAUCUCUCAGAGAACACAUGUUGGUACAAACAGACUUAAAGAAGCUCCAGAGACGGUCUGUGUGUCCCCCUGAUGUCUGACUCCUCCCACCUCCUCUGAAUCAGGUCACCUCCAACACACGGCGGCCGUUUCCUCUGAUGUCAGGCGGGACGCUCUGACUAAAGACAGACGGUCCCCAGGUUCACUCUGCUCUUAAUCUGAAAUCUUAAAGUCCUCCAUGUUUAAAAGACUCACAGCUGGAGUCCAGCAUCCUUCAGGGUAUAAGCUCCUCCUCCUGGCUGUGACCUCACAGGAAAUGGCCGCUGUGUGACUAAGGAGAAAGAGCAGGAAGUGGAGCCUGUAGCAGCUGUGAGAGGAAGGUUCUGGCACUUUAUGGCGUCCUCUUGGAGCGAGACGAUCAUCUUUAAAUGCUGCGUCAUGUUUCAUGUAUAAAAUGAUAAAUCUCUAUUUUGCUCUGAGGAACGGUCGGAGGUCGUUCGCUGACUUCCUGUUAGCCUGCUUUUAUAAUAGUGUUUGAAUGGCUGCUGUACGCUAACCUUUGAGGCGACGACACGUGGGCAACUCUUAGAGGCUUCAAGCAUGAACAUAGAACCAGUUACAAGUCCAGCCGGCAAAUCUCCAGUCCAAGGGGAGCCCCGAGUCCAGCCCUGAGUCCAGCUCUGAGUCCAGCCCUGAGUCCAGCCCUGAGUCCAGCUCUGAGUCCAGCUCUGAGUCCAGCCCCGAGUCCAGCCCCAAGUCCAGCCCCGAGUCGAUCCCUGAGUCCUCUGUGGUCUGAUGUUUGAGUCUGAGAACUUUACAGAGUCCCAAGGACACGUCAGAGUCACCUAUUCCAGUUUAAAACACUAAUAUGAUUCUUAAAGGGACAGUGUUUUUUAAGAGGGGUUGUAUGAAAAAAACUCUGAACUGUCCCUUUAAGUAUCAUCCUCUUAGUUUGUGUCCCCGCAGAGCCUGGUCUGACUCUUCCCUCGUACCCGGUCCGGUCUGAUCUCAGUGACUGUGCCUGGUCCGAGUCAGCGUCUCAUCCCAGAGUCCCUACUGAAGUUUAACCCUUUCAGGUCUGUUACUGGGACACGCUCUUUUCUUUACAGUCAACGCCAAGUCAGCCAGUCUCUCCCAAGUCACGCUAAUAUGCAAAUCACUCGACCACCGCCGCUCCACUUCAGCCGGUCUGACGCGGUCUUCGGUCUCCUCGAUCUGACCGUGGUCGUGUCGUAGUCUCUGCUGCCAUCUUUCCUCUGUCGAGUCCUGUCCAAGAACCAAACGCGUCCAGGACUACGAGUCCAUGUGCUCGAUGUACGUGACCCUGAAGAGACUCGGACAUGAUCCCAAAGAGUCUGUGUUGAUGUCCGGACUGCAGGGACGGUCCUGACAUCGUUGUUUCAGUCUCUGUGAUCACGUCCGAGUCCCUUCAGGAAAGGUCUCGGACGCUGCUCCAGAGUCUGAGUCUACAGUGAUCAGGAUCAGAUCUUUGUGUCUGAGUCAGCUGAAUCUGACUCGUCACAGUCACGUCUGAGUCUCGACAGUCCGGUCCUGAACGUCAGGAUGAAUCCAGUCUUCUUCAGUUACGUCUCGUCUGAGUCUUUUCAAUCGUCCUCAAGUCUUCAGUCCCGUUAUGAUCAUGUCCUAGACUCUGUCACGUAAAACCUGUCCCCUCGAAGUCGCUUAGAUUACGUCUCGAGUCUCCUCAGUCAUGUCUCGGUCACGUCUCGGUCUUUGCAGUAAGGUCUUGGGUCACGUCUCGGUCUUUGCAGUAAGGUCUUGGGUCAUGUCUCGGUCACGUCUCGGUCUUUGCAGUAAGGUCUUGGGUCACGUCUCGGUCUUUGCAGUAAGGUCUUGGGUCAUGUCUCGGUCACGUCUCGGUCUUUACAGUAAGGUAUUGGGUCACGUCUCGGUCUUUGCAGUAAGGUCUUGGGUCACGUCUCGGUCUUUGCAGUAAGGUAUUGGGUCACGUCUCGGUCUUUGCAGUAAGGUCUUGGGUCAUGUCUCGUUAACGUCUCGGUCUUUACAGUAAGGUAUUGGGUCACGUCUCGGUCUUUGCAGUAAGGUCUUGGGUCAUGUCUCGUUAACGUCUCGGUCUUUACAGUAAGGUAUUGGGUCACAUCUCGGUCUUUACAGUAAGGUCUUGGGUCACGUCUCGGUCAUGUCUCGGUCACGUCUCGGUCUUUGCAGUAAGGUCUUGGGUCACGUCUCGGUCAUGUCUCGGUCACGUCUCGGUCUUUGCAGUAAGGUCUCCAGUGUCCUGGGUCUUUGCAGUAAGGUCUCCAGUGUCCUCGGUCUUUGCAGUAAGGUCUCCAGUGUCCUGGGUCAGGGCGUAGUCACUGAGAUCACGUCUGAGUUACUCCAUAUGAACCAACAUUAAAGCUGCACGUUGUCAUCGCUGGGACAAACUAAGAUCAUCUUCUGUUCUAUGAUCAUUAAAUACUGACUCUGACAGAAAGACCUCGUCUCAGACAGAUCUCUUCAGAUUCAUCUGUGAGUGGACUCAACCAGUCUGAGUGACUGGAUGGAGACAGACGUCUGCAGCUGGAUGAAUGUUUGUUUACUUUAUUCAGACAUUUUAUUACAAUGAUUUUUUGUUAAACUUUGAUUCAGAUGUUUUUGUUUAUUGAUUUUUAUUCAGGUGUUUUUGUACGGUCCUUGUCGGUCUUUGUCCUCCUGCAGGUUUCUGUCUCUGCUCCUGUUCCAGGUCUUUCCCGCUCUGACUCCCUGGACAUGUCGUCCCGGUCUGGGCUCCUCUGCUGCGACUCUUCCUGAUGUAACUCUGCUGUAUAUGGCUUCACUGUAAACUGAAAUGCACUUUGUCAGCAGGAUUUGAAGGAGGACACGUGGUGACUGAGAGACGUCCGUCCUGAGGACGUGACCGCCUGCGAUGUGGACGAUCUGUUUCUGAGAGCACAAAAAAACAGGCAGAAUGUUAGCAUGUAGCUUGUAGCUCUGCAGCCAGCACUAAUAUAUCAAACAGCUUCUGUUGCUUUCAUUUAAAGAGAGACGUUUCCUUCAGAUCAGCUGAUGCUCAUCAGACGUGAUCAUUUAGUCUCCACAGGUUUUCAUUUCCUGUCUUCAGCAGUCUCAUGUUCGUUAGCGAUGCUAGUGCAAGUCAACGGGAUUCAUUUGUAGCAUAAACAAUGACCCUUUGUGAAGCUCCGCCUCCUGGAGAUGUUUCUGACCCGGCGUCCGUCAAACGUCUCGCUGUGUCCGGUUUAUUUAUCCCCGUGUUUUGUUUCCUGUUUUUACAAGUCUUUUUUUAAUAUUUCUAUUUCAUCCUUUUUAUCUCAUGAAGUCGCUUCUUCUGUUCGUCUGUGUUACAAAGUCAAAUGUGAGAAAUAAAGUUUGGACAA